rnacentral:rRNA from 1 species
GAUGAACGCUGGCGGCGUGCUUAACACAUGCAAGUCGAACGGUGAACGAGGGAGCUUGCUCCCUCCGGAUCAGUGGCGAACGGGUGAGUAACACGUGAGCAAUCUGCCCUGGACUCUGGGAUAAGCGUUGGAAACGACGUCUAAUACCGGAUACGAGACGCGAAGGCAUCUUCAGCGUCUGGAAAGAACUUCGGUCCGGGAUGAGCUCGCGGCCUAUCAGGUAGUUGGUGAGGUAACGGCUCACCAAGCCUACGACGGGUAGCCGGCCUGAGAGGGUGACCGGCCACACUGGGACUGAGACACGGCCCAGACUCCUACGGGAGGCAGCAGUGGGGAAUAUUGCACAAUGGGCGCAAGCCUGAUGCAGCAACGCCGCGUGCGGGAUGACGGCCUUCGGGUUGUAAACCGCUUUUAGUAGGGAAGAAGGGCUUCGGCUUGACGGUACCUGCAGAAAAAGGACCGGCUAACUACGUGCCAGCCGCCGCGGUAAAAC